UCGUACCUUUUGCAUCAUGGUCUGACUAGUUUAACCAAGCAAAACGAAUUUUAAGUUUGACCCCCCGAAACUAAGCGAGCUACUUCAAGACAGCCUUAUGGGCCAACCCGUCUCUGUCGCAAAAGAGUGGGAAGAUUUUCAAGUAGAGGUGACACACCUACCGAGCCUAGAGAUAGCUGGUUAUUUAGGAAAAGGAUAUAGUCCAAUUUUAAACCUACACACAACCCUAAGUAUAUCAUAGCUUUAAAAUUUAUUCAAAUAAGGUACAGCCUAUUUGAAACAGGAUACAACCUAUGACGAAGGGUAAUGUUUUUCUACGUGACUAAGUAGGCCUAAGAGCAGCCACCUUUUAAAAAGCGUUACAGCUUCAUCACACACAUUACUAAUCCCAGCCAAGACCCAAAACCCUCCCCCAAUACUGAAUGACCCCAUAUUAAUAUGGAAGACCUUAUGUUAGAACUAGUAACAAGAAUAAAUUCUCCCACAAGCACGUAUAAGCCGGAACGAACUCUUUCGCCAGCAUUUACCGCCAAUGAAUAAAUAGUAGCAACAAUACAAGAAAACCCUACUUUACCAAAGCGUUAACCUUACACUAGAGCUUUCCAGGAAGAUUAAAAGAAGAGGAAGGAACUCGGCAAAUAGUAACCCCGCCUGUU
rnacentral:rRNA from 1 species